rnacentral:rRNA from 1 species
GACGAACGCUGGCGGCGUGCCUAAUACAUGCAAGUAGAACGCUGAAGGAGGAGCUUGCUUCUCUGGAUGAGUUGCGAACGGGUGAGUAACGCGUAGGUAACCUGCCUGGUAGCGGGGGAUAACUCUUGGAAACGAUAGCUAAUACCGCAUAAGAGUAGAUGUUGCAUGACAUUUGCUUAAAAGGUGCAAUUGCAUCACUACUAGAUGGACCUGCGUUGUAUUAGCUAGUUGGUGGGGUAACGGCUCACCAAGGCGACGAUACAUAGCCGACCUGAGAGGGUGAUCGGCCACACUGGGACUGAGACACGGCCCAGACUCCUACGGGAGGCAGCAGUAGGGAAUCUUCGGCAAUGGACGGAAGUCUGACCGAGCAACGCCGCGUGAGUGAAGAAGGUUUUCGGAUCGUAAAGCUCUGUUGUAAGAGAAGAACGAGUGUGAGAGUGGAAAGUUCACACUGUGACGGUAUCUUACCAGAAAGGGACGGCUAACUACGUG